GAUAGUACGACAAAGUACCCUGACAAAACUAUUUUGCUUGUUGCCAGAUGUGGAUGUGUUAUUUUGAGUGUAGUUGGCCGAAGCAUCCAUAAUUUUUUAGUCAAUGCUUUCUCUGUGACUAGUUGUAUCUGCCCAGCUGACCAAGGCUGUAGCAUGCUCCGUAGUAGAUUAAAUACUCAUGUCCAUGUCCUGUUUAUUCCGAUCAUCAUUUUGCACUACUAUCUUGUAAUACAACAAACUCCUCGUGCGCCUUAUUUUUUAGGUUAAUUUCCCUUAUGUGGGACAAGGUUGGAAAUAGAGUGGCCAAAUGGCUGUAAAACAUGCCUUCCUUUUUCUUUUGCUUUCGUUUUGUAUCAUAUUGUGUGUACAUUCUCUUGAAUUAUCUUCACCUCUGCACUUACUUGUUUGCUCUGAAUAAUUGUAUAUAAGUUCCAGAUUUGUGAUUAGUUUCCUAGCAUGGAAGUUUUGGUCCGUAAAAUCUAGCUAGCUAAAUUAGGGAUUACCUGAUGUAGGUAUGUAUGAUUGCAAGUGUUUUGAUGAUUAGGUCAAGCUAGAAAGUCUUUGGAUUCAACAAGGCUUAAACUAUUAGUCUUUGGAUGGACAAACUCUUCAGUAACUGUUAGGAUUUUGUUUGUUUUUCUAUAUGCUGAUCAGUAAUGUUGGUUUUGCGAUUUUUUGCCGUGCAGGUUUGAGGCCGCACUUCGUCGGGCUAAAAGCCAUCCGACACCAUCAUUCUCCUCCAAGUCAACAACUUCAUCGACACCAUCAUUCUCCUCCAAGUCAUAGCUGCAACAAAACAAGGAAGCUAUAAUGAUUUUGCCAUUGCUAGAUCUGCACCAAUUAAUAAAUUCAGGACCCAUGUGGGGUUUAGGCUUCAUUAAGUAAGUAAUACAUCUCCAAGAAUCAUCAUCUGGUUGGGUAACCUGACCUCUCAACUUCGUUGUGUUCUCGUGAAUGCUGCUGGCAUGGAAAGUUUUGCCAUUAAGAGGACAGAUCUCAUUUUGAUGGAAAGCAGCAUUUAGUAAUCAAUUUUAGGGUAUUUCCUUAGAUAACAGGUGUUUAGUGCAUCUCAUCCUAAGAAAGGUUUGAAGGAUACAAGACAUGUUGUACAACCUAACGUAUAAUCUGACCAAGUUUCUUUGACAUUGGAAGAGGUUAAACAAGAUGAGUCCAAUGUUAAAUCUGAUGAUCUCACAGGAAGGACUGAGCUUAAAUCCUCAGAACAUGGGAAAGAGCUGAAGAACGUAAUGCAAAUGAAGAUUCUCCAAUGGAGCAGAUUGUGCCACCAUCUAAGAAUCUUGCAAGAACUUCCUGGAGAAUCGACUGAUUUGUACGGCCAUUUACCCGGGAGUUGUGCAACAACUUCUUGGUAAAACUGGAUCUAUCUGUAGCUUCUGGAUGGAUCAUAUGAAGACAGUAUGUUUCUUCAUUAUUAACAACUUCAGAC